rnacentral:misc_RNA from 1 species
AUUGAAAACGCUGUUUCAAUCCAAUAGCACCGGUUUGUUUAUUUUAUUUGGAAUUAUUUGAGAAUUCUUACAUUGUGUGUGUGUUUACAGUCGAGAAGAUAGAAAUAUUGCCAUUUGAUUGAGUGGAUGGUAUUGAACUGAUUUGAUACACGCGAAUGUCUCUAAUGGGAAAAUCUUUUAAAAUUCCGUUAAUUCAUCAUGUUAAUGGCCAUAGACGUUCUGUAAUCGUCGCAGAAAACCUGAUAGAUAUGUGAGACUUGAUUGUCUAACAAGAAAUAUUUGCCGAACAUGUAGCCAUCGUUAGAAGGCGCUGCAGAAGUAGUCUACUGAAAUAAUGGCUUUCCUCUGUCCAAGUCGAGUUGGCCGUGGAACCAAAGAGAAAAAGAGAAAAGGUAAAGCUCCUUUUAUAUAAAAAUGCAGAAAUAGGACAUUGCACCUGAAUCUUAAGUUAUUUUGUUUCUUAAUAACAGGGUUUGCAAUAUCGGAGCUACGUUAUGCAGUUUCGAUGAAAGCAUUGCUAUUUAUAAAUUGAAUACAUUGCUCCAUAAUAUGAUUGGAGUGGUUUGAUUACAAGAGGUAGACAAGGUAUGAGCAAACAGCCCCCUGUUACUACUCGCGUUAACAAGGUGUAACUAAUGGACCAUUUACUAUUUUAUCUUCCCUCUAUUGAAAUACCCAAAUGUUGCACAUUUAAUAGGAAAUCCUGAAAGAUUUAAACCCCUCCGUUACCGGGUACCUGUGUGAGGUAUGUACAUGUGCACCUUGAUUUUCUGACAUUUACACGAUUUCUCGUUCCAGUCGCCUCGUCUGCGAUUUUUGGUAGGAUUACGGGAAGUGACAGCGUGGAUACCCUGGUCAGAGUCGGCCUGGAGAAGCAACAUGGGCUUCCUGCCAACGCAAAGAUGGUGGUACUGCAAGACUUCAGCCCGGGGGCGGAAAAAGAGCUGGAAGUUAAGAGGGGCCAGGAGGUGUUUCAGCUGUACAAGGAGAACGAUUGGUGUUACGUCAUUACCGUGGACGGCCGAGAGGGCUUUAUACCGGAAUCCUUCUGUCUAGGAGUUACUAACUCACCCAGUGUAAAAUCAAAGUCCAAAGACUCCCCAAGGAAUUCGGGAGAAUACAGAUCUUUCGACACUUUCGAUUCGGAUUCCUUUUUUUCUUGCAAUGAGGAUUACGUUAAUGACGUCACCGACAAUGGACCUAAAUCCCCCGUCCCCCUUAGCCAGUUGAACGUAGUCGACUACCAAAAUAUCGCGGCGGUACCGGAAGUUAGGCCAUUCCGGAAGACGUCACAUGGGCAUUUCAUUGUGCUUUUUGACUUCACUGCGCAGGAUGAGAACGAUGUGACGGUUGAGCGAGCCGAACUUCUGGAUGUGCUGAACAUCGAGGACCCUGACUGGUCGUGGGUCCGCCGAGGCAAUGGAGAGGAGGGAUUCGUACCCAAGUCCUACAUAUGCCCAGUGGAACCACUUAAAGCCCAUGGUAAAUGGGGUAAUAAAGUUAAAAAUUGAAGAUUCAAGACAUCAUUUUCAUAUGAUUUUCUUAAUAUUCUGAUUCUAUAAAUUCAUCUGUAUAUUUUCUGUAUAUUGUAGAGAAAAUGUUGGCGCUUCAACACAAGCAGAAACGAUCAAGCACCCCGACAAUACGUCAGCCACUUCUAUCAAACUUUUCCCCAAGACGAUACUCCCAGUCAAGCGAACCCCCGACCCCUCCUCAGAGAAAUCCUCUACGGACAUCGGCACUCCGAACUCGCUACAAUGAACUCGACCAAGAGUCCAAUUACUCGGACACACAGAAAGAGCAGCAUCGAUCAAACUCGGCAUCGAUGCAAAAUGGCGAGAAGUACUCGGUUGUGAGGUCACCGCUUGUGACGUCAGUCGGAGCAAAGAGGUCAAAUUCUCCCUGCCGAGUACCUCAGAAUUUGGAAACGACUCGCCAUGGAGACGAUUCCCUGAACAGCCCACCCCUUAUUGUUUAUGACAAACCAUAUUCACAAAGAGUAACUAGUCGUUCCCCGUCCCCAAGGCUACCGCCAAGUUACUCUGAUCUAUCCGAUCAGAGCGCUAGACAGCGGACACGCUCGGCCUCCCCAGCCUCGUCCAGAGCGUCCGCUAGUUAUGAAAACGUAAACAUUAAAUCCACUUGUGAUAAUAUUGUAAAUAUGAGUACUGUAAAAAAGACACCCCUGUCAUUGUCGGAUCAAAACCUCUACAAGAAGCAGAGUGAUGGCGUCACAAACAAGUACAGUUCCUACCAAAAUCUGUCUUCGGGGAAUUUCAGCCUUGUUCAGAAUGGGAGUUCUAGAUUAUACACAGAUAUGGCAACUAACCAAUCAAAUUUCUCAUUACCGAAUGACUCAGGUCCAGAGGGGCUCUUUGUACCUAAUUCUAGACUUUCACCCAAUGAGUCUCGCCCAGAUCGCACCAGGCAGGGAUCAGAACUCAUAAUGAUGUACGACUUUAAUGAUGAGAAUCGCGGGGGACUGACGGUCAGACAAGGUGACCUGGUCUAUGCUGAUGGCAUGGAUCAGCAAGGUACAGACUGGCUGUGGGUAUAUUACCCUCAGACCAGCCAGUAUGGGUAUGUCCCUAGGAACUAUGUAAAAUCCACACAGCUAAAGACCACUUUAUAAAUGGUACUGAACUUUUAGUAUCAUAAUUUAAAUUCAUAUGUGAAUAACUGUUUGCAACUUUUAAUAAAACAUAAAGCAG